CGUGCACCGGUGGGGUCCCUCGGCCUGGCUUGUACCAACUCUCUGACAUCCCCUGAGGUCCCGGAUUGCGAGAGGGCGCAGGCCAGGCUGAGGGACCCCACUGGUGCACA
rnacentral:pre_miRNA from 1 species